UACGUAGGGUGCGAGCGUUGUCCGGAAUUACUGGGCGUAAAGAGCUCGUAGGUGGUUUGUCGCGUUGUUCGUGAAAUCUCACGGCUUAACUGUGAGCGUGCGGGCGAUACGGGCAGACUAGAGUACUGCAGGGGAGACUGGAAUUCCUGGUGUAGCGGUGGAAUGCGCAGAUAUCAGGAGGAACACCGGUGGCGAAGGCGGGUCUCUGGGCAUCUCCUGACGCUGAGGCGCUAAAGCGUGGGGAGCGAACAGG
rnacentral:rRNA from 1 species